ACGUUGGAUAAGAAAGAUAGGAAAUCCCCUCAUCAUCUUUGGAGGAUAAUAAGCACACCCCCCUAUCUUGGAUGGUCUCUUCCAAAGGGCCCCGUUGUUGAAUAACCACUGUUACCAUGCAACGUAAAAACACCAUACAAUCAAUCUUCCAAAGGGCACCUUGUCAGAACAUCUACUACUCAUUGAUGGACUACAUUAGGCAGCUGAACUGAUGUUGCAGGAUUUGGUGCUUCAGCUGAGAAGGCGAUGUUCAUUAUGCUAGUUGGAGAAGAAGAGCACUAAAUAUAAGACUGUUUAUGAUCUGGAGAUGAACAUAGGAGCUGGAGGGGGAACAGACAACUUAGUCUUGUCCUCAUACUGCAACUCCAGGUUGGCGUACUGGUAAUGUACGACAUGUCAUGACUUCUAUACCAAGCUGCAGCUUGGCGAGCUAACUUCCAUGUCUUACGGAUACGAACCUAUGAAAGCUUGUAUAUAACCUCGUAGCUUGGAGAGAGUACUUUCCGGGACUUAAAAAUACAAAGCUAUGGAACCAUUUAUAACCUCAUAUCUUGGAGAGGUAACUUCCUGCGACUUAAGGAUAUGAAGCUAUGAAAGCAUUUAUAACCUUCUAUCUUGGAGAGGCUACCUUGCUGUGGUUGGGAGAGAGAACUAACCAGGAAUUACGGAUAAAGCUAUGAAACCAUUUAUAACAAUGCUUUAUCUCUGACUUGUCUGCAUAUUUAGGAACUGUACUUGAUGUAGUAAUACAGGUAAUAAUCUUUGUCCUUAAAGUGAAAGUUUCUUUGCCCCAUGAAUGCUUACAUAAAUACCUUGAACUAGUGGUUUUAAUUCUUCAAUUGGUGGAAGUUUAAUAGGGAAUUUGGUUUUUUUCUUGACUCCUUUGUGUUCCUUUGACGUUUCAAAAUGUUAACACUGACAGGGCGCACAGUGAAUUGUCCCUGUAUCCAUAUUACAUCGUGAUUUUAAGUUCCUUAGUGGAAUAUGUAAGAAACUGAAAGGGGACAAUGUGUAUCCAUAUUACAUCUUCAUUUCUGAAUCAGACUGGUCCCUAAAUCCUUGAAUAUUGGUAAGGUGAAGUUUUAAAGGGAUGUGGCUAGUAUUCCAUGCAGGUUGCAGAUUUGGCAUGGAACUUUAAUCCCAAAAAUGUGUACUUGAACAUUUUGAACUGUUGCCAUGUUUUAGGAUCGAAUAGUUCAAUAUAGAAGUUGACUUAAUUUUGAAUCCUUAAUUUUCAAAGUUCCUUUGGUAGUGCUGAAAGUAAAUUAAAGGGUUUUUAUGCUAAAGGUGUGUGCAUAACCCUUUGUCGUAGCCUCUAAUGGCUGUUGAAUGCCUAUUCAGUGCACAUGACUUGAUUUAAAAGGAGCUUAGUACUUGAGUCAUUGAUUCGGACAAGGAUUCUGUCUUGUUAACUUAGUACUUGACUUAUUUCCUUACCUCCUGUAGUCCCUGUUAACACAAGUAGUACUUAAAACAAUUAGUGUUGUGUAGUUCACAACAUUCUUGAUUCUAAGUUUAAUAUGAAAUUUGUUUUAUUUUGAAUGAUUAUUAUAAAGUUACGUCUAUGAAGACAGGUUUAGCAAAUGGAAAGGUAGACUGAGACUGUCAACUGUCCAUGCAGCCACAUAAAAAUGUCAAAAAGCUGCUUUCAAAACCCUUUAAUUUUAGUAAUUUAGUUUUGGAAAGGUGUGUUUGUCACUUUAUCCAUAAUGUCAGUAAAUGUGCAUGGAAGUUUUUAUAUCCCACGAAGUGCCUCAGCGGCGUGAUCGGUAUGGUCUUGACCUGCCACCUCAGUGGCCGCGAGUAAGAUAAUCGGGCAUUCCAUCGAGGGGGUUAGAGAUGUGUAUUUCUGGUGAUAGAAGUUCACUCGCGACGUGGUUCGGAAGUCACGUAAAACCAUUGGUCACGUUGUUGAAUAACCACUGGUUCCAUGCAACGUAAAAACACCAUACAAACAAUCUAUA